GAGGGUAUAGCUCAGUGGUAGAGCAUGUGCUUAGUGUGCACAAGGUCGCGGGUUCAACCCCAGCACCUCCA
rnacentral:tRNA from 1 species